AAGAAGGAGCGAACAGCAGAAAGGGGGCGAAAACCAAGAAACCAAAAACCUCGGGGAAGCUCUUCGAUGGCAGCCUUCACCUCACGGAUUCAAACCCCCUCCUUCUCAAACCCUCCCUCUUGUCUUCCUCCUCCUCCUACUCCAAUUUGAAACGGCGCGGCCGCCGUCUCCUCCCACGCGCCUCCCUCCGCUACCCCACUUCCAAGACUCGCUGCCAGUUACCACCCAUCCCCCUCGCGCUAGCCCCCCUCGUCGGCCCCCAUCCGCCGCCGGCAAGGUCCGACGAGCCCGCCCUCUCCGAGUGGGAGCGCGUCUACCUCACCAUCGACCCCGGCGUCGUCCUCCUCGACAUUGCCUUCGUCCCCGACGACUUGAACCAUGGUCUCUCUGCGAUCAUCCAAUCUCUCCUUUACCGUCUCUCUGUUCCUCCCAACCCGAUUUCUUGGAACUCCUUGAUUUUUAAAACCUUUUAUUAGUUCUUGAAAAUCGGUAAAUUGCAUUGUUAUUUUCUUUAAUCUUGAAAGAAAUUGAGGGUAAAACAUCGUAAAAUAAUCCAAGAAUCGCUAGCUAUUUGGUUAUAACUAUUUGCUGCUUAAUUUAUUAUUCUGUCUGUGAAUCUUGAUUUGAAAUUUUAUUCUAAAGGGACCGAGCAACCAAAUCUCAUCCGGCAUUUCUGAUUGUGAAAUUGUCAUGAAGAUGCCAACUUAUCAAGGUGGUAAAAUUCUUGGCAGGAAGACUAAGUCACCUGGCAUCGAAUCCCGCCUUCACUAGGUUUGGAGGUUUAGCGGUAUUUGGGGAGAGGGCUGCCCCGUUGUGUGGUUUAUUGCCUGCAGGUCAUCCGAUCUGGACAAUAAUUUUUUUUUAAAAAAAAAUCAGUGGAAACUACUAACUCUGUAUUUUAUGGCUUGACAAGCUCCCCACAACAUAUCAAUUUUAACAAGCUUUAUGCUACUUGCAUGUCGUCCAUGUUGGGAACUUGUUUUCGUGUAAAAAUAUGGAGUUUACAUGCUUCCUCCUGAGUUCAGCUCUGCUUAGGUUUUCCCUGUUCUUCUGGUGACAAAAAGACCCAUCUCUGGUCUUGUUUGCAUCUUACAUGACUUGGUAAAUUGAUUGUCCCAUACAUCAAUUAGUUGUUCUUCAAAGUUUUACCACGCAUUGACACAAGCAAACUCAUCUUUGCUACAAUGAACUCGUAGUUAUGUGGUAUCAUCUUACUUAUAAAGUCUCCCAAUGCCAAGUAAUGUUUGUCAACAAUAUUAACUCACAUUUCCAUUUUAUUCUCCAUUCCCAGGUUUUAUUAAAUAUUAUAAUCAACAUCCCAUCCUCUAGUUUGUUUCAGCUAAGGUUUUUACGAAUCUUAUGCAACUCUUCAGCCACAGUUCCAAGUUCACUUUUAUAAAUAUUUCUGUAAAAUUGUAAUGCAAGUAUUGAUGUCUAGAAGUUCUUUUAGGGGUUUGUAUGGAUGUCUGCUUACCACGUUCUAUGAUAUCUCAUACAGAUAAGAGUGUAUGGUGAAGCAUCUGAGAAGGUGGAGGAAGGAUACUGCGAGGAUCAGAGAAAUCCUUUCAUCCUGCUAUUCCACAAUUUUUGGGAUACUAUAAUCCUUCAUGGUAUCCCAAAAAUCUUGGAAUUGCUGGAUCAGCUGCCAUCUCAAUAAAUCUAACUUCUUACUUCCUCUCUCCCCUCAAGUUGUUCAAAAUUUAGGUUUCUUCAUUUCUUUGCUUUGAUGGAUUGACUUAGUUUGUACAAUGUUAAUCACCUUUAUGGUUCAUAAACUUUUAGUUUAGUUUAGUUGAACAAUUUAAAGGAAGAAUUUGAUAUUACGGGCAUAUUGUGGUCCUACAUCCUUUUCCAACCAAAUUUGCAUGCACAUUCUUUAAAAAUUAAAUUAAGAAGGCGUAGUCCAUGUCCUUCAAGUUUUCUAUUGGGAACAAGGCAAAUGAUACUGGAGACAAAAGAUGGAGGCACCACUUGGUUUCUGCGCUCCAUCCUUUCUGCAGAAGAUGACGACUUUAACUACAGAUUCAAUUCCAUAAGCUUCAAGGGAAGAAAGGUUGGAUUGUUGGAAAACCUGCAAUUUUGUUAUAUACAUCAGAUGCUGGAGAAAGCUGGGAAAGAAUACCUUUGAGUGUGCAACUUCCUGGAGAUUUUGCAUUUUCAGCCAAAACUCCAAAACUUGGACUGACAUUGUGAAAAUCGAGUUCAAGGGCUACGAAGAUCUCCACAGCUGUGCACUUUCACAAUUCUAUUUUAAUAUUGCAUUAUCUCAUAUAGAUAUAAGUAACCAAUGUAUAAACAUGCUACUUGGUGUGUUAAUCACUUUGAGCUUACCAAAAAGGUACUUUUAGAUAACUUUUGCUUUAUGUCAUUCUCAUGAAGUUAUAUUAACAUACUAUUAUGUAUUAUGCAGAACAGUCUGUAGUGGCAUUAGUGGUGUCAGCUACCAUACAGGAACCUUUAACACAGUAAACUGCUCUCCUUACGGCAACUAUGUUGCUUUCUCAAGUCGUGGGAACUUCUACUUAACCUGGGAGGCUGGGCAGCCAUACUGGCAACCACACAACAGAGCAGUUGCAAGGAGAAUUCAAUAUAUGGGAUGGAGGGUUGAUGGUGGCUUGUGGCUUCUAGUGCAUGGUGGUGGACUUUACCUCAGUAAAUGCACCAGGAUUUAUCACGGACGACAAAGGUUUUGCACUAGGGAGUGAUGGUGUCUUGCUG